rnacentral:lncRNA from 1 species
GUUUCCAAAAAGGAGGACGUGGGAAAUCUGUAGAGAAGUCGACCGAGAAGUGAGAUGCGGUGGCGACCUCGGAGCGCACCGGGUGUGCGCGCAGCUGGGGCCUCUGGGGAGCGGCGCGGCGGGGACGGAGGAGAGCUCGGAGCCCGGGGCUGCAACUGGGCAGAGAAAGAUGGGGACCAGGGAGGUCUUUGGGUCCAGGAAGUUCUCCUGGAGGCUCAGGUCUAGAGCCUGCCUGAAGAAAAAUUAGACAUCUUGAAGACACUGGGAAAUAUAUAAGGUGCCAGUGCCCAACUCAUUCUCAUACUUACUCCCAAGAUGGCUGUUUCAAAUAUUAGAUAUGGAGCAGCAGUUACAAAGGAAGUAGGAAUGGACCUAAAAAACAUGGGUGCUAAAAAUGUGUGCUUGAUGACAGACAAGAACCUCUCCAAGCUCCCUCCUGUGCAAGUAGCUAUGGAUUCCCUAGUGAAGAAUGGCAUCCCCUUUACGGUUUAUGAUAAUGUGAGAGUGGAACCAACGGAUUCAAGGUAUUCUUGUAUUGUUGUUAUUGUUUCUUUACUUUAAGCAGAAGCUAACUGUUGAUUAAAACUUGCCCCCAACCAGGCGUGGUGGCUCACGCCUGUAAUCCCAGCACUUUGGGAGGCUGAGGCAGGCAGAUUGCUUGAGGUCAGGAGUUCGAGACCAGUAUGGCCAACAUGGUGAAACACUGUCUCUACUAAAAAUACAAAAAUUAGCCAGUCAUGGUGGCAGGCACCUGUAAUCCCAGCUACUUGGGAAGCUGAGGUGGGAGAAUCGCUUGAACCCAAGAGACAUAGGUUGCAGUGAGCGGAGAUCGUGCUACUGCACUGCAGCCUGGGCAACAGAAUGAGACUCCGUCUC